rnacentral:rRNA from 1 species
UACAGAGGUCUCGAGCGUUGUUCGGAUUCAUUGGGCGUAAAGGGUGCGUAGGUGGCGCUGUAAGUCGGGUGUGAAAUCCUGAGGCUUAACCUCGGAACUGCAUUCGAUACUGCGGCGCUUGAGGACUGGAGAGGAGACUGGAAUUCGUGGUGUAGCAGUGAAAUGCGUAGAGAUCGAGAGGAACACCAGUGGCGAAGGCGAGUCCCUGGACAACUCCUGACGCUGAGGCGCGAAGGCCAGGGGAGCAAACGGG